rnacentral:rRNA from 1 species
CACGAACGCUGGCGGCAGGCUUAACACAUGCAAGUCGAACGGGCAUAGCAAUAUGUCAGUGGCAGACGGGUGAGUAACACGUGGGAACCUUCCUAGAGGUACGGAACAACGCAGGGAAACUUGUGCUAAUACCGUAUACGCUCGAGAGAGGAAAGAUUUAUCGCCUUUAGACGGGCCCGCGUAGGAUUAGGUAGUUGGUGAGGUAACGGCUCACCAAGCCUACGAUCCUUAGCUGAUCUGAGAGGAUGAUCAGCCACACUGGGACUGAGACACGGCCCAGACUCCUACGGGAGGCAGCAGUGGGGAAUCUUGGACAAUGGGCGCAAGCCUGAUCCAGCCAUGCCGCGUGAGUGAAGAAGGCCUUCGGGUUGUAAAGCUCUUUUACCAGGGACGAUAAUGACGGUACCUGGAGAAUAAGCCCCGGCUAACUUCGUGCCAGCAGCCGCAGUAAGAC